rnacentral:misc_RNA from 1 species
GUGAAUCAUCAAAUUUUUGAACGCAAAUUGCACUCUUCUCGGAGAGUAUGCCUGUGUGAGGGUCAGCCUAUAAAAAUCGAUAUCGUUGCGGUUUCGCGGUGGUGUUCGUCUUGAAUUGGGUCAUCUUAAGUCCUUGUGAUUUAGUCGUAUUAAAAUGUUCGUUUGGUACCAUGAACGUUUCUAAGAUCUAUCACUGUAAA